AUUGAACGCUGGCGGCAUGCCUUACACAUGCAAGUCGAACGGCAGCACGGGUGCUUGCACCUGGUGGCGAGUGGCGAACGGGUGAGUAAUACAUCGGAACAUGUCCUGUAGUGGGGGAUAGCCCGGCGAAAGCCGGAUUAAUACCGCAUACGAUCUACGGAUGAAAGCGGGGGACCUUCGGGCCUCGCGCUAUAGGGUUGGCCGAUGGCUGAUUAGCUCGUUGGUGGGGUAAAGGCCUACCAAGGCGAAGCUCAGUCGCCGGUCUGAGAGGAGGGCCAGCCACACUGGGACUGAGACACGGGCCAGAAUCCCACGGGGGGGAGCAGGGGGGAAUUUUUGGAAAAGGGGGAAAGCCUGACGCAACAAAGCCGCGUGAGUGAAAAAGGGCUUUGGGGUGUAAAACACUUUUUUUCGGGAAAAAAAUCUGUGGCCCUAAUCGGGCCGGGGGUGACGGGACCCAGAAAAAAAGGCACGGCUUAACACGUG
rnacentral:rRNA from 1 species